UCGCCUGUUUAUCAAAAACAUGGUCUCUUGAAAUUGUUUAGGAGAUCUAACCUGCCCACUGAAGAAUUUUUGAAGGGCCGCAGUAUUUUGACUGUGCAAAGGUAGCAUAAUCAUUAGUCUUUUAAUUGAAGGCUGGUAUGAAUGGUUGGAUGAGGUGAAUACUGUUUUAUAUUUAUUUUAAUUGAAUUUAGAUUUUAAGUAAAAAGACUUAAAUGUUAUUAAAGGAC
rnacentral:rRNA from 1 species